rnacentral:rRNA from 1 species
CCCUUAGAUGUUCUGGGCCGCACGCGCGCUACACUGAUGCAUUCAACGAGUCUAAAACCUGCUCUGAUAGGGGUGGGUAAUCUUUUGAAUGUGCAUCGUGAUUGGGAUAGAUGAUUGCAAUUUUUGGUCUUCAACGAGGAAUUCCUAGUAAACGCAAGUCAUCAACUUGCAUUGAUUACGUCCCUGCCCUUUGUACACACCGCCCGUCGCACCUACCGAUUGAAUGGUCCGGUGAAGCCUCCGGAUUGGCGCGCACCUCGGUGCCGCCGAGAAGUUGGCUAAACCUUACCAUUUAGAGGAAGGUGAAGUCGUAACA